rnacentral:rRNA from 1 species
UACGGGGGGAGCAAGCGUUGUUCGGAUUUACUGGGCGUAAAGGGCGCGUAGGCGGCCACCGCAAGUCGACUGUGAAAUCUCCGGGCUUAACCCGGAAAGGUCAGCCGAUACUGCGGGGCUAGAGUGCAGAAGGGGCAACUGGAAUUCUCGGUGUAGCGGUGAAAUGCGUAGAUAUCGAGAGGAACACCGGAGGUGAAGACGGGUUGCUGGGCUGACACUGACGCUGAGGCGCGAAAGCUAGGGUAGCAAACGGG